rnacentral:rRNA from 1 species
GACGAACGCUGGCGGCGUGCCUAAUACAUGCAAGUCGAACGCAGUGGGGACGGGUGAGUAACACGUGGGUAACCUCCCAUCAGAGGGGAUAACACUUGGCAACAGGUGCUAAACCGAUACUGAUUGAUGGACCCGCGGUGCAUUAGCUAGUUGGUGGGGUAACGGCCUACCAAGGCCACGAUGCAUAGCUGACCUGAGAGGGUGAGCGGCCACACGGGGACUGAGACACGGCCCAGACUCCUACGGGAGGCAGCAGUAGGGAAUCUUGGGCAAUGGACGAAAGUCUGACCGAGCAACGCCGCGUGAAUGAAGAAGGUUUUCGGAUCGUAAAGCUCUGUUGUUAGAGAAGCGGUAUUUAACCAGAAAGCAACGGCUAACUACGUGCCAGCAGCCGCGGUAAUAC